rnacentral:rRNA from 1 species
UACCAGACUCCUACGGGAGGCAGCAGUGAGGAAUAUUGGUCAAUGGGCGGGAGCCUGAACCAGCCAAGUCGCGUGAGGGAAGAAGGUACUGAGUAUUGUAAACCUCUUUUGCCAGGGGACAAAGGCGGCCACGGGUGGCCGUAAGAGGGUACCUGGAGAAAAAGCAUCGGCUAACUCCGUGCCAGCAGCCGCGGUAAUACGGAGGAUGCGAGCGUUAUCCGGAUUUAUUGGGUUUAAAGGGUGCGUAGGCGGCAUUAUAAGUUAGUGGUAAAAUAUUGGGGCUUCACCUCACUACGCCAUUAAUACUGUAGAGCUAGAGAACAGACGAGGUAGGCGGAAUAAGUUAAGUAGCGGUGAAAUGCGUAGAUAUAACUUAGAACACCGAUAGCGAAGGCAGCUUACCAGACUGAGUCUGACGCUGAGGCACGAGAGCAUGGGUAGCGAACAGGAUUAGAUACCCGUGUAC